GGUGCUGUACAGAGCAAGUUGAUCAGCUAUUGUCCUGGGUGCAAGGCUAAAUCUUUGCUUUUGUAUAUCAAGGGAGGCCCCGCUCAUCUGUACCUGAAGAAAAACAAGGUGACAACAGUCGCCAAACUGAAGAAAGAAGGCAGUGAGGACAUGGUUUGGUUCUGGAAGACACUGGGAAGUCUGAUGAGUAAACUGGAGCCUGACUCCACCGUCAUACACAUCAUGGGCUGUAACGUCAUGGGGUAUCCCAAAUAUGUGGGCAUUGAUCUGUUUGAGUACUUACAGGAACUGAUGAAGCCUUCCAUUGUUAAAUUCGAGGCUCCAUUGGAGGUUUCCAUUAA